ACUGCUCCAGCGUCUCCAACACACACAAGUGUCCCGCUGAAGUGACGCCCGUCCGGAGGAAGAGGACGCUCUCAAAACCGGCAGCAAAGAACAGAAACAACGCCCGAAUUACAGAUUUUUUCCCAAAGAGAAGGAAGACUACAGAAACCAAGAGCAUCCAGAAUCCUUUCCACACAAGUUCCAAUGAAGCAGCUCAGUGCAAAACAAUAAGGUGAACAUCCUGCUGAAAAUGGACGAUUUACUAUAUUUAUGUUUGAUGGACUGGACCAAGGCCUAUUCACUGCACCAAAGGAUUUUGUUAUAUGUUAUUUUAUUACACUUUAUUUUAUUGCCAUUUUUAGUAUUUGUGGAACGGGGUUAAAUUAUACCACUUUUCUGUUAUUUAUUCUAUUUAUGGACUUUUAUUUAAUGUCUUUGCAUUUUUUUUAUUUUUAUUAUUGAUAAGUUGUUGUAACAAAUAUGUUUGUUUCUAGAUGUUUUUUUUUCUUCUCAUUUUCAUCCUGUUGUUAUGUGAGCAUUUGAAAGACUUAAUGACAUUUUGUUUCCGUGUGUGUCUUCUUCAAUCUUGUGGGUGGAUUUCUGCAAUAUGAGCUGCUUCGGUUAACUAUAUAGAAAAGCACUGUUUUGUCCUUGUCAUGUUUGCCUAAAUGAACUGAGAUUGUAAAUGCCUACAAAUAUUGCAAUUUUAAUAAACUGCUUUAACAGUGA